AGGUAGUAGUAUAAUACUAAACCUAUUUAUAUCGGCGGCAUUUCAUUUUAUUAGAGGAAUCUGUAUAAUAAUAGAAAAUACACAAUAAAUUUAACUUUAAUUAUAAACUUAUAUAUCGCCAUCAUGAAUUAAAUUACUAAUUUAUUCUUAAUAACUUUUAAAAAGUUAGGUCAAAAUAUAGUCAAUAUUAAAGGUAAUAUGGAUUACCUGUAAAUAAAAUUUAAAGAAUUAAAAAUAUCAAAUUUUAAUAAAUAAGAAUUUAAAAGUAAUAGAUAAAAUAAUAUUUAUUUUUUAAUAAAACAACAAAUGUGC
rnacentral:rRNA from 1 species